CACGUAGGCUGCUUUGUAAGUCAGGGGUGAAAUCCCACGGCUCAACCGUGGAACUGCCUUUGAUGCUGCUUAGCUUGAAUCCGGGAGAGGGUGGCGGAAUUCCAGGUGUAGGAGUGAAAUCCGUAGAUAUCUGGAGGAACAUCAGUGGCGAAGGCGGCCACCUGGACCGGUAUUGACGCUGAGGUGCGAAAGCGUGGGGAGCAAACA
rnacentral:rRNA from 1 species